GUCGAACGAAGGCUUCGGCCUUAGUGGCGCACGGGUGCGUAACGCGUGGGAAUCUGCCCUUAGGUUCGGAAUAACAGUUAGAAAUGACUGCUAAUACCGGAUGAUGACGUAAGUCCAAAGAUUUAUCGCCUAGGGAUGAGCCCGCGUAGGAUUAGCUAGUUGGUGUGGUAAAGGCGCACCAAGGCGACGAUCCUUAGCUGGUCUGAGAGGAUGAUCAGCCACACUGGGACUGAGAUGCGGCCCAGACUCCUACGGGAGGCAGCAGUGGGGAAUAUUGGACAAUGGGCGCAAGCCUGAUCCAGCCAUGCCGCGUGAGUGAUGAAGGCCCUAUGGUUGUAAAGCUCUUUCACCGGGGACGAUAAUGACGGUACCCGGAGAAGAAGCCCCGGCUAACUUCGUGCCAGCAGCCGCGGUAAU
rnacentral:rRNA from 1 species